UCUCCGUUGGUGAACCAGCGGAGGGAUCAUUACCGAGUGCAAAGUCAUAACCCAUUGUGAACCUAUAUCUGUUGUCUCGGCGGCUCACUAUCGGGCUAGCCCGCCGGUAAUAUCAGUAUCUCUGUUUGAACCCAGCGAUGCUUCUGAGUGCUGUUAGUGAGCAGUUAAAACUUUUAACAACGGAUCUCUUGGUACAAGCAUCGAUGAAGAAGGCAACAAACUCGAGGAGCACACGUCCGAACUUCACUCACCAAUGGACAGCUCGUCUGCUGGGAACGG
rnacentral:misc_RNA from 1 species